ACUUUUUUAGUAUAAAAAAUAUAGUUGACUUCCAAUCAAAAGAUCUUAUAUUUAAGAAAAAGUA
rnacentral:tRNA from 1 species